CUGCUGCCUCCCGUAGGAGUUUGGACCGUGUCUCAGUUCCAAUGUGGGGGACCUUCCUCUCAGAACCCCUACGCAUCGUCGGCUUGGUGGGCCGUUGCCCCACCAACUACCUAAUGCGCCGCAUGCCCAUCCGUGACCGGAGUCGCCCCCUUUGGCCGGCAGGGGAUGUCCCCUCCCGGCAUUAUGUUGUAUUAGGCGGGAUUUCUCCCGGUUAUCCAUCUGUCACGGCCAGGUUGCAUACGUGUUACUCACCCGUGCGCCGGUCGCCGG
rnacentral:rRNA from 1 species